AUGAACGCUGGCGGCGUGCCUAAUACAUGCAAGUCGAACGAAUCUCUUUUAGAGAUGAGUGGCGAACGGGUGAGUAAUACAUAGGUAACCUGCCCCUGUGCGGGGGAUAACAGGAGGAAACUCCUGCUAAUACCGCAUAGCCAUGAGCACCGCAUGGAGCUCAUGCCAAAUAUCCUUUCGGGGAUAGCGCAGGGAUGGACCUAUGGCGCAUUAGCUUGUUGGCGGGGCAACGGCCCACCAAGGCAACGAUGCGUAGCCGGCCUGAGAGGGCGGACGGCCACAUUGGGACUGAGACACGGCCCAGACUCCUACGGGAGGCAGCAGUAGGGAAUUUUCGGCAAUGGGGGAAACCCUGACCGAGCAACGCCGCGUGAGCGAAGAAGGCCUUCGGGUCGUAAAGCUCUGUUGUAAAGGAAGAACGGCGCAUACAGGAAAUGGUAUGCGAGUGACGGUACUUUACCAGAAAGCCACGGCUAACUACGUGCCAGCAGCCGCGGUAAUACGUAGGUGGCGAGCGUUAUCCGGAAUCAUUGGGCGUAAAGAGGGAGCAGGCGGCCGCAAGGGUCUGUGGUGAAAGACCGAAGCUAAACUUCGGUAAGCCAUGGAAACCGGGCGGCUAGAGUGCGGAAGAGGAUCGUGGAAUUCCAUGUGUAGCGGUGAAAUGCGUAGAUAUAUGGAGGAACACCAGUGGCGAAGGCGACGGUCUGGGCCGCAACUGACGCUCAUUCCCGAAAGCGUGGGGAGCAAAUAGGAUUAGAUACCCUAGUAGUCCACGCCGUAAACGAUGGUCACUAAGUGUCGGGGGUCAAACCCCGGUGCUGCAGUCAACGCAAUAAGUGACCCGCCUGAGUAGUACGUUCGCAAGAAUGAAACUCAAAGGAAUUGACGGAA
rnacentral:rRNA from 1 species